rnacentral:snRNA from 10 species
GGGUUCACUUUAGGAGCACAUAUACUAAGACUGGAACCAUAUAGAGAAGAUUAGCAUGGCCCCUGUACAAGGAUGACAUGAAAAUUUGUGUAAUGUCAAAAAAAAAUUUUU